rnacentral:rRNA from 1 species
GUUGACCUCGGAUCAGGUAGGGAUACCCGCUGAACUUAAGCAUAUCAAUAAGCGGAGGAAAAGAAACCAACAGGGAUUGCCCCAGUAACGGCGAGUGAAGCGGCAAGAGCUCAAAUUUGAAAGCUGGCUCCUUCGGGGUCCGCAUUGUAAUUUGUAGAGGAUGCUUCGGGAGCGGUCCCCAUCUAAGUGCCCUGGAACGGGACGUCAUAGAGGGUGAGAAUCCCGUAUGGGAUGGGGUGUCCGCGCCCGUGUGAAGCUCCUUCGACGAGUCGAGUUGUUUGGGAAUGCAGCUCUAAAUGGGUGGUAAAUUUCAUCUAAAGCUAAAUAUUGGCCGGAGACCGAUAGCGCACAAGUAGAGUGAUCGAAAGAUGAAAAGCACUUUGAAAAGAGAGUUAAAAAGCACGUGAAAUUGUUGAAAGGGAAGCGCUUGCGACCAGACUCGCUCGCGGGGUUCAGCCGGCAUUCGUGCCGGUGUACUU